UGGAUUCAUGUGCUCUUUCCUGAGGACCACAUGCCUGCACGCACAACCCCCUCUUUCUCUUUCUAAUCCUCAACAGAAUCUGGUCAUAGGCUUCUUCUACCUACCUAGCAUCUCUCACGUCUCUAGAAAACGCUUUUGUGCUGCACAUCUCAUAUCUAAGCUAGCUCUCUUUCCGGUCUGGAUCUGACGAAAUUCCGAAGUCAGUUUUGUCCGAUCUGAAGCAGAGCUAGACAAACUAGCCAAGGAAAUUAAGAGAGGAUGCUCCAUAAGAGCGCGAGCCAGAAGACGCUCCGAGACGUGAUGCUGGAAGAGAGGACGACCACCAUGGCCAGCCGCCUGCUCUCCCCCGACCUCUCCAACCCCUCCUUCCGCAACUACUACGGCGUCGCCUCCGCCGGCUCGGUGCCGUUCCUCUGGGAGUCGGCGCCGGGCACGCCCAAGAAGGACGCCAUCUCGUCCAGGGCACUCCCGCCGCUCACGCCGCCGCCGUCCUACUACAGCAAGGCCACUUGCAGGUCCAAGUCCUCCAAGAAGCUGCUCUCCUCAUCCUCGUUCAAGCCGGCGGCCAGCUUCGUCCACAGCAUGUUCCGGAGGAGCCAGACGAUGCCGUCUCCCUCGAGGCCCAAGGAUCAGAGUCAGAGCGUCGUCGACCAGCAGUGUAGCAGCAGGAGGAAGAGGCUGGUGCCGAGCCCGAGCCCGCGGUCGUCGUUUUCGUCCACGUCCAGGGGGGAGGACGAAGAAGGGGACGGUGCUCAGGACGGCAGGGCGGCAUCGCCAACGUCCACGCUGUGCUUCCGGGCGAGGCACACCGGCCAGCCUGGCUCCGGCGGCGGGGCCCGGAGGCUGCUUGCCUCCGUGCUUGGAGGGCAUGGAGAAGAAACAAACAAAGGAUUCAAUUGAGAGGCUGCGAAGGAGGCUAUUGAGGUAUAGUUUAUCAGCACUUCGGUUUAGAGCUAGUUUUUCAGAGGACAAGGCCCAACAGGACACCACAGGUUCAGAAGAGCAACAGAUUUAAGAGCACCAUUUCAUCUCCCUCGUGCUCAACCUCCUAACGCCUUGUUGUACAUGGUCAACAUGUCAUCGUGGGUUCCGACUGGCGACGAUUACGCCACGAGCCUCUCAGGUUGGUUGUGAUUUGGUUUUACAAACCGCUGAUUUCAAUGAGGAAGGAGGCCAUGAUGGAGAAAUAAAUCUCCCCUUGAUCAAUUUGGACAGCUUCAGUACGCCAAAAAAGGGAGAUUCCAAUGGUCCAGUUUGUGGUUCAUCGUGUAUACCAGGAUGUGAUGACAAAUUAAAGCCGGUCGUAGGUAUGACAUUUGACAAUUUGGAAGCAGUCGAGGAGUUUUACAAGCCGUAUGCUCACAAUGUUGGAUUUUCGGUUCGAACUGGACAGAGAAAAACUGUUGGUGAUGUGAUAGUUUGGAGGCAUUUUCUUUGUGGAAAAUCAGGUUUCCGAACAAAGGAGGAGGAAGCUAAGAUGAGUUAGACCAGAGAGAAGAAAAGAGCACAUGUUAGAAAAAUCACUAGAUGUGGUUGUGAGAGCAAUGUACUAGUUUAUUUUCUGGAACUUUGUAAGAGAUAUCUAGUAGUUUGUUUUUCAUAGGAUUGUUAUGUGUUCUGACUUUGUGGCUUGCAUCGUGCUUCUACUUUCUUGU